AUUGAACGCUGGCGGCAUGCCUUACACAUGCAAGUCGAACGGUAACAGGUCUUCGGAUGCUGACGAGUGGCGAACGGGUGAGUAAUACAUCGGAACGUGCCCGAUCGUGGGGGAUAACGAAGCGAAAGCUUUGCUAAUACCGCAUACGAUCUACGGAUGAAAGCAGGGGACCGCAAGGCCUUGCGCGAACGGAGCGGCCGAUGGCAGAUUAGGUAGUUGGUGGGAUAAAAGCUUACCAAGCCGACGAUCUGUAGCUGGUCUGAGAGGACGACCAGCCACACUGGGACUGAGACACGGCCCAGACUCCUACGGGAGGCAGCAGUGGGGAAUUUUGGACAAUGGGCGAAAGCCUGAUCCAGCCAUGCCGCGUGCAGGAUGAAGGCCUUCGGGUUGUAAACUGCUUUUGUACGGAACGAAAAGACUCUGGUUAAUACCUGGGGUCCAUGACGAUACCGUAAGAAUAAGCACCGGCUAACUACGUG
rnacentral:rRNA from 1 species